rnacentral:rRNA from 1 species
UACAGAGGGUGCGAGCGUUGUCCGGAAUCACUGGGCGUAAAGGGCGCGUAGGCGGCCUGAUAAGUAGGGGGUGAAAUCCUGUGGCUUAACUGCAGGGCUGCCUCCUAGACUGUUAGGCUCGAGCACGGUAGAGGCAGAUGGAAUUCCCGGUGUAGCGGUGGAAUGCGUAGAGAUCGGGAAGAACAUCGGUGGCGAAGGCGGUCUGCUGGGCUGUUGCUGACGCUGAGGCGCGACAGCGUGGGGAGCAAACAGG